GGUCUAGUGGUGUAACGGUUAUCACGUCUCGUUUACACCGAGGAGGCUCCGAGUUCGAUUCUCGGCUGGAUCA
rnacentral:tRNA from 1 species